UACGGGGGGGGCAAGCGUUGUUCGGAAUUACUGGGCGUAAAGGGCUCGUAGGCGGCUAACUAAGUCGGAUGUGAAAUCCCCAGGCUUAACCUGGGAACUGCAUCCGAUACUGGAUGGCUUGAAUUCGGGAGAGGAUAGCGGAAUUCCCAGUGUAGAGGUGAAAUUCGUGGAUAUUGGGAAGAACACCGGUGGCGAAGGCGGCUAUCUGGACCGACAUUGACGCUGAGGCGCGAAAGCGUGGGGAGCAAACAGG
rnacentral:rRNA from 1 species